GACGAACGCUGGCGGCGUGCUUAACACGUGCAAGUCGAACGGAAAGGCCCUGCUUUUGUUGGGUUCUCGAUUGGCGAACGGGUGAGUAACACGUGAGUAACCUGCCCUUGACUUUGGGAUAACUUCAGGAAACUGGGGCUAAUACCGGAUAUGAGCUCCUGCUGCAUGUUGGGGGUUGGAAAGUUUCGGCUGUUGGGGAUGGACUCGCGGCUUAUCAGCUUGUUGGUCUGGUAGUGGCUUACCAAGGCUUUGACGGGUAGCCGGCCUGAGAGGGUGACCGGCCACAUUGGGACUGAGAUACGGCCCAGACGCCUACGGGAGGCAGCAGUGGGGAAUAUUGCACAAUGGGCGGAAGCCUGAUGCAGCAACGCCGCGUGCGGGAUGACGGCCUUCGGGUUGUAAACCGCUUUCGCCUGUGACGAAGCGUGAGUGACGGUAAUGGGUAAAGAAGCACCGGCUAACUACGUG
rnacentral:rRNA from 1 species